rnacentral:rRNA from 1 species
CUUUACUGUAGCCUGGUAUUGGGUUCGGGCUUUGACUGCGCAGGAUAGGUGGGAGACUGAGAAGUGUGCCUUGUGGGGCACAUAGAGUCAACGGUGAGAUACCACUCUGUCAGAGCUAGGAUUCUAACCUUCACCCGUGAUCCGGGGAAGGAACCGUAUCAGGUGGGCAGUUUGACUGGGGCGGUCGCCUCCUAAAAGGUAACGGAGGCGCGCAAAGGUGUUCUCAGGCUGGUUAGAAAUCAGCCGUAGAGUGUAAAGGCAGAAGAACGCCUGACUGUGAGAGUGACAACUCAAGCAGGGUGGAAACACGGCCUUAGUGAUCCGACGGUAUGCGCGUGGAAGUGCCGUCGCUCAACGGAUAAAAGUUA